AUGAGUUUGAUCGCCUUCAUACUUAUAAGUCAUUUUCAAUGAUAGAGUUUCUGAAUCGACGAUUCAUACCGUGAAAUAUUAUGUAGAACAUUUAAAGUUUCUAGAAAUCAAAUUUUAUAAUUUUUCAAUAUUAUUUACCUUACGAUCAAAAAGUCACGAUGUAAAACAAUCCAAAUCUGAUGAAAUUUUUAGAAAUUUUUUUUUCACUAUUUAAAGUAACAUCAGUGUGUUUGAUCUUAAAUUCUAGUCUUUUCUUAUUAUUUUUUAUAAGAUUUUUAUUUUCAGCCGUUUAUUUUUAGAAUACUUUUUUGAUAGGUAAAUAAUGUCGAAAAAUUAUGAAAUUUAGUUUUCAAAUACUUUUAAUAGUGUAAAUCAAAUCUAACAGAGCUGAUCAUCGAUUUAGAAGCCGCAUCAUUGAAAACAACUUAUUACCACGGAGCUCCGGUAGUAUAGUCUUAUUUUCGAUCUUAGGAUGUUCAAAUUAACGAUCCAGACCAUUAAAUAUGAUCUAGGGUAUAUGAAGUUUUUAGAAUAAAAUUUUUAUUUUUUUCGACAUCGUUUAUUUAGUAAAUAAAUUAUGUCAAAAUGGACAGUGAAAAUUGAAUAAUCUUUAAAAUUUGAGCAUAGGACUUUUAAAUUCAAAAUCAAGAAUGGUAACCUUAAUCAAAGUAUUUUCUAUCAAAAUUUGAAGAAAUUUAAAUUCUUCUACACCGUUAAACUUCAAACUCGCCAUAGUAGCCAUUGAAAAUUGACAAUUUUGAAAUGAUUUGAUCAUAAAGUAA
rnacentral:lncRNA from 1 species